rnacentral:rRNA from 1 species
CGGAGGGUGCAAGCGUUAUCCGGAUUCACUGGGUUUAAAGGGUGCGUAGGCGGAUAGGUAAGUCCGUGGUGAAAUCCUGCAGCUUAACUGCAGAACUGCCAUGGAUACUAUUUAUCUUGAAUGUCGUGGAGGUUAGCAGAAUAUGUCAUGUAGCGGUGAAAUGCUUAGAUAUGACAUAGAAUACCCAUUGCGAAGGCAGCUAACUACGCGAUAAUUGACGCUGGUGCACGAAAGCGUGGGGAUCAAACAGGAUUAGAUACCCUGGUAGUCCACGCCCUAAACGAUGAUUACUCGACAUUGGCGAUACACAGUCAGUGUCUGAGCGAAAGCAUUAAGUAAUCCACCUGGGAAGUACGAUCGCAAGAUUG